GGAGGAAAGUAGGGGAUCGCAAGACCUUGCGCUUUUGGAGCGGCCGAUGUCUGAUUAGCUUGUUGGUAAGGUAAAAGCUUACCAAGGCUUCGAUCAGUAGCUGGUCUGAGAGGACGACCAGCCACACUGGGACUGAGACACGGCCCAGACUCCUACGGGAGGCAGCAGUGGGGAAUUUUGGACAAUGGGGGCAACCCUGAUCCAGCCAUGCCGCGUGAGUGAAGAAGGCCUUCGGGUUGUAAAGCUCUUUCAGCCGGAACGAAACGGUUACGGUUAAUACCCGUGACUACUGACGGUACCGGAAGAAGAAGCACCGGCUAACUACGUGCCAGCAGCCGCGGUAAUACGUAGGGUGCGAGCGUUAAUCGGAAUUACUGGGCGUAAAGCGUGCGCAGGUGGUUUUGUAAGUCAGAUGUGAAAUCCCCGGGCUCAACCUGGGAACUGCGUUUGAAACUACAAAGCUAG
rnacentral:rRNA from 1 species